UUGACCUCAAAUCGGGUGAGACUACCCGCUGAACUUAAGCAUAUCAAUAAGCGGAGGAAAAGAAACUAACAAGGAUUCCCCUAGUAACUGCGAGUGAAGCGGGAAAAGCUCAAAUUUAAAAUCUGGUGGUCUUUGGCCGUCCGAGUUGUAAUUUAGAGAAGCGUCUUCCGCGCUGGACCGUGCACAAGUCUCCUGGAAUGGAGCGUCAUAGAGGGUGA
rnacentral:rRNA from 1 species